rnacentral:rRNA from 1 species
GGCGUGCUUAAUCCAGCAAGUGAACGCGGAGCGAAAGUGCUAGUCCUUUGAAGUCAGCGCGCCUCAUGAGUGGGGAUAACAUUUGGAAACAGAUGCUAAUACCGAAUAAAACUUAGUGUCGCAUGACACAAAGUUAAAAGGCGCUUCGGCGUCACCUAGAGAUGGAUCCGCGGUGCAUUAGUUAGUUGGUGGGGUAAAGGCCUACCAAGACAAUGAUGCAUAGCCGAGUUGAGAGACUGAUCGGCCACAUUGGGACUGAGACACGGCCCAAACUCCUACGGGAGGCUGCAGUAGGGAAUCUUCCACAAUGGGCGAAAGCCUGAUGGAGCAACGCCGCGUGUGUGAUGAAGGCUUUCGGGUCGUAAAGCACUGUUGUAUGGGAAGAACAGCUAGAAUAGGAAAUGAUUUUAGUUUGAAGGUACCAUCCAGAAAGGGCAGGCGACAUUAAGUUCUGCAGCGGAGGUAAUACGUAUGUCAAAAUUAUCACCAGCAUUGAGGCAGGUAAAGCGAGUGCAGUCGGCCGUUUAACUCUCACUGGAAAGCUGCAAGCUCCUUCGGGGUGGGUUAGACAAACAUGGAUAGGCGACUGCCAUGGUGC